rnacentral:rRNA from 1 species
GUAACGCGUGGGAACGUACCUUUUGGUUCGGAACAACACAGGGAAACUUGUGCUAAUACCGGAUAAGCCCUUACGGGGAAAGAUUUAUCGCCGAAAGAUCGGCCCGCGUCUGAUUAGCUAGUUGGUGAGGUAACGGCUCACCAAGGCGACGAUCAGUAGCUGGUCUGAGAGGAUGAUCAGCCACAUUGGGACUGAGACACGGCCCAAACUCCUACGGGAGGCAGCAGUGGGGAAUAUUGGACAAUGGGCGCAAGCCUGAUCCAGCCAUGCCGCGUGAGUGAUGAAGGCCCUAGGGUUGUAAAGCUCUUUUGUGCGGGAAGAUAAUGACGGUACCGCAAGAAUAAGCCCCGGCUAACUUCGUGCCAGC